rnacentral:rRNA from 1 species
CGAGCGGUAUGGAUCUUUCGGGAUCCAGAGAGCGGCGUACGGGUGCGGAACACGUGUGCAACCUGCCUUUAUCAGGGGGAUAGCCUUUCGAAAGGAAGAUUAAUACCCCAUAAUAUUUAGAAUGGCAUCAUUUUAAAUUGAAAACUCCGGUGGAUAGAGAUGGGCACGCGCAAGAUUAGAUAGUUGGUGAGGUAACGGCUCACCAAGUCUGCGAUCUUUAGGGGGCCUGAGAGGGUGAUCCCCCACACUGGUACUGAGACACGGACCAGACUCCUACGGGAGGCAGCAGUGAGGAAUAUUGGACAAUGGGUGCGAGCCUGAUCCAGCCAUCCCGCGUGAAGGACGACGGCCCUAUGGGUUGUAAACUUCUUUUGUAUAGGGAUAAACCUACCCUCGUGAGGGUAGCUGAAGGUACUAUACGAAUAAGCACCGGCUAACUCCGUG